CCCUUCCUCUACGGGCUUCGGUUUCCUCAUCCGAGCAUAGGAGAUCGUCAAAGUUGGAAACCACACUCUAAACCAUCGCUUGGCGGAACUACAAUUUCCCAGCUUCCAGCCUCCGGAAGCCCUCACAACAGCCACUAGUCUUCGAGGCAGUGGACUUCCGGUGGCGUGACGUCACUUCCAUAGCUAAGAGCCUCCUAGGCUUCGAACCACGCACUCUCGCGCCCUCUGCCGGCUCGGAGGAGGGACCGACUUUACCAAACAGUGAUAAGAAACGGCGGAGUCCAUUGGUUGAAAGACGGAAAGACGCAGGGAGAAUCCGAAUGAAAGAAUCGGAAAGCUGUGCGGUUCUAGGAAGACUAGUCUCCGGUGUUCUCCUCACCCAUUCAUUUCACAUCCGAGAGAAGACACCUGCUGAGUUCACGCAGAAAAUGAGGGGCUUUGUAAGAAUUCUUGGUUUCCAGGGCGAGGAGUUUUACAUUUUAAAAUUAAGAGCACCUGCUGUCCUCCCUUAGCCCUCACGCUUUAUUCAUGUAAUCCACCCAAGCCUGUGAGGUGAAUGUUAUGACACGGACUCCGACUCCUCACUGCCUAUGGCUCUGCCGGUUAUUAGCUGUGUAUCCUGGCCCCAGUAACUCUCUGCCCAGUUUCUGUGUCUGUAAAGCAAUGGGAUAAUAGCACCUACCUUAUACCAUUGUUUUAAGGAUUAAAUAAAUAACAUUUAAAAAACACUCAGAACAUCA